rnacentral:antisense_RNA from 1 species
UUCAAUGGUGAUGCUGAUGGGGCAGCCUUCGGGCUGGCUGGUUUCCUUUUCUGCCAGUAGUCUCAACCCUGUCAGCGUCACCGCCCCC